AACUGCAGGGCUUGGAGAUGGGCCUGACUUUGGAUCAGGAGUUUGAGGGUUUGAGUCCCUUUGUGGUUG
rnacentral:tRNA from 1 species